GACGAACGCUGGCGGCGUGCCUAAUACAUGCAAGUCGAGCGCAGGAAACUGACGGAACUCUUCGGAGGGAAGGCAGUGGAAUGAGCGGCUGACGGGUGAGUAACACUUAAGGAACCUGCCUCAAGGAUUGGGAUAACUCCGAGAAAUCGGAGCCAAUACCGGAUAGUUCAACGUAACGCAUUGUCCGCUGCUGAAAGGCGCUCCGGCGUUCCCUUGAGCUGGGCUUGCGGUGCAUUAGCUAGUUGGUGGGGUAACGGCCCACCAAGGCCACGAUGCAUAGGCGACCUGAGAGGGUGAUCGGCCACACUGGGACUGAGACACGGCCCAGACUCCUACGGGAGGCAGCAGUAGGGAAUCUUCCACAAUGGACGAAAGUCUGAUGGAGCAACGCCGCGUGAGUGAUGAAGGUUUUCGGAUCGUAAAACUCUGUUGUAAGGGAAGAACACGUACGAGAGGAAAUGCUCGUACCUUGACGGUACCUUACGAGAAAGCCACGGCUAACUACGUGCCAGCAGCCGCGGUAA
rnacentral:rRNA from 1 species